AUGCACGCUGGCGUCGUGCCUCAUACAUGCAAGUCGCGCGCACGGACGAGAAGCUUGCUUCUCUGAUGUUAGCGGCGGACGGGUGAGUAACACGUGGAUAACCUACCUAUAAGACUGGGAUAACUUCGGGAAACCGGAGCUAAUACCGGAUGAUAUUUUGAACCGCAUGGUUCAAAAGUGAAAGACGGUCUUGCUGUCACUUAUAGAUGGAUCCGCGCUGCAUUAGCUAGUUGGUAAGGUAACGGCUUACCAAGGCAACGAUGCAUAGCCGACCUGAGAGGGUGAUCGGCCACACUGGAACUGAGACACGGUCCAGACUCCUACGGGAGGCAGCAGUAGGGAAUCUUCCGCAAUGGGCGAAAGCCUGACGGAGCAACGCCGCGUGAGUGAUGAAGGUCUUCGGAUCGUAAAACUCUGUUAUUAGGGAAGAACAUAUGUGUAAGUAACUGUGCACAUCUUGACGGUACCUAAUCAGAAAGCCACGGCUAACUACGUG
rnacentral:rRNA from 1 species